UAGAUGAAGACUGCAAGGUGUUAGC
rnacentral:piRNA from 1 species